rnacentral:rRNA from 1 species
UGAACGCUGGCGGCGUGCCUACUACAUGCAAGUCGAGCGAACGGACGAGAAGCUUGCUUCUCUGAUGUUAGCGGCGGACGGGUGAGUAACACGUGGAUAACCUACCUAUAAGACUGGGAUAACUUCGGGAAACCGGAGCUAAUACCGGAUAAUAUUUUGAACCGCAUGGUUCAAAAGUGAAAGACGGUCUUGCUGUCACUUAUAGAUGGAUCCGCGCUGCAGUAGCUAGUUGGUAAGGUAACGGCUUACCAAGGCAACGAUGCAUAGCCGACCUGAGAGGGUGAUCGGCCACACUGGAACUGAGACACGGUCCAGACUCCUACGGGAGGCAGCAGUAGGGAAUCUUCCGCAAUGGGCGAAAGCCUGACGGAGCAACGCCGCGUGAGUGAUGAAGGUCUUCGGAUCGUAAAACUCUGUUAUUAGGGAAGAACAUAUGUGUAAGUAACUGUGCACAUCUUGACGGUACCUAAUCAGAAAGCCACGGCUAACUACGUG